rnacentral:lncRNA from 1 species
GAUGAUUGUAAAGGUUUAUUUUGUUCCUUGCUCAGGUUCACAUUUCAGAAACAUAAACUCACAUAGAAGACUGUUUGUGCAUGAAAGAAAAUUUUGUACAUGAUUAUGCUCACAUCAAAAAAUAAUUAACAUCAAGCACUCCCCUUGUCAGAUAUUGAAGUGCUGCUUAAAAUUAGUACUCAGAAACAGAGAAAAAGCUUCUUUUUUUGAGGCAAUGAAUUUUACAUUAAAUCUAAGAAAACUAAUGAUUAUAAAUAAGCAGAAGUUCAGUUAUUACACAAAGGCUUGAUCUCCACUAUUGAGGACUGAAUUAAUAUUCAGAGCAACAGUUUAAGUCUCUCAAUAGGUGACUAGGCUUAUGCUCAAACUUCUUUUGGUUUUGGUAAAGACUUCUAGUGCUGGCAUGCAACAAGCAUGAUCCAAACAUGGUACAGAUGCAUGGAACGAAACGCAUUCAGUUCAUCAGCUCCUUUGCCCCACAGACAGAAGACCCUUCCCAGUGGUAGGCGCAACCACUUGCUUCUGGGGCAGCAGCCGUAGCACAGGUUUUGGUUGAGGGCAUCAGUGUGUGGCCUGGCCCCACUCCACUCUCCCCUUGCAGACACAGCCUGGCUUCCUCCCACUGGAAACCACUCUUCCUGAGCUGGUAUGUGCCUGCAAAGACUGUGAUUCCCAGGAAUGAUACCAUGUUUGCCACCUUCAGAUUCAGUUGCAACAUCCGUCUUCUUGCAGUUUAGUUCCCCAGAAUCAUGGCACAGUGAUCUUACAGAUAUGUGAAUCUUACCUUUCCUCUUACCCUUUGCCAUGGUCGAGUCAAGCCACAUACUCUACACGGCACUCUUUCUCAAGAAUUCCCAUACAUUGACUUCAGUGUUGAGCAAUGAAAUAAUCACAAAUUGAUGUGAUAUUUUUUUAACCUAAUUUCUAAAAAAAAAAAAAAAA